UACGUAGGGGGCAAGCGUUGUCCGGAUUUAUUGGGCGUAAAGAGCGUGUAGGCGGCCAGGUAGGUCAGCUGUGAAAACUCGAGGCUUAACCUCGAGCUGUCGGCGGAAACCAUCUGGCUAGAGUCCGGAAGAGGAGAAUGGAAUUCCCGGUGUAGCGGUGAAAUGCGCAGAUAUCGGGAAGAACACCCGUGGCGAAGGCGGUUCUCUGGGACGGUACUGACGCUGAGACGCGAAAGCGUGGGGAGCGAACAGG
rnacentral:rRNA from 1 species